rnacentral:rRNA from 1 species
GAUGAACGCUGGCGGCGUGCCUAAUACAUGCAAGUCGAGCGAACAGACGAGGAGCUUGCUCCUUUGACGUUAGCGGCGGACGGGUGAGUAACACGUAGGUAACCUACCUAUAAGACUGGGAUAACUUCGGGAAACCGGAGCUAAUACCGGAUAAUAUUUCGAACCGCAUGGUUCGAUAGUGAAAGAUGGCUUUGCUAUAACUUAUAGAUGGACCUGCGCCGUAUUAGCUAGUUGGUAAGGUAACGGCUUACCAAGGCAACGAUACGUAGCCGACCUGAGAGGGUGAUCGGCCACACGGGAACUGAGACACGGUCCAGACUCCUACGGGAGGCAGCAGUAGGGAAUCUUCCGCAAUGGGCGAAAGCCUGACGGAGCAACGCCGCGUGAGUGAUGAAGGUCUUCGGAUCGUAAAACUCUGUUAUUAGGGAAGAACAAACGUGUAAGUAACUGUGCACGUCUUGACGGUACCUAAUCAGAAAGCCACGGCUAACUACGUG